GCAUAGUCAAUAGAUAUACAAGCCAAUGAUUUCUUUAUUUAUUUAUAUCUAUUGUUGCAGUGAUGGGAAUACGGUUUGGAGGACAUUCGUCUGCGUGUAUGUGUUAUAUGUGUGUGGCAGCCAGUUAUGUGAAUGGGGUUCAGUAAUGAGAAAUGCUUAUCAACCCUCUACAGCCUGUCAGCCUGGUGCAUUGAGCUGUUACCCCAACAAUCCUACAGAUCUCAUUGGAUUGGAUAACAGCUGCCGCGGAGGAUUGAGACUGCGACAGUGAAACAUGUAUGCGUGAUUUUAAGGCAGAUGACAGAGAGACAGAAGGGCUCCUCAACAGGACAUACAACUUUAACAGGAUUGGAAAUGGUACCCACCAGCUGUAAGAGAAGCUUGGCGAGAUGGAUAAGGAGGAUGAAAAAAUGGUGGAGAAUGGGGAACAAGCUUUGGGAUGCAUGAAUCCGCUAAACACAUCAUCAAACGCUGGAGGCACAGCAGGGGGCCUCGGGAUACACCCGUCUGAGAGUUGGGUGGUGUGGGUGUGUGUUUAGUUUUCUAGUGGCCUAAUAAACCACCCAUCUGCAGGGAGAGGAGAACAGUGGAUGCGGGGAGCGGGGGGGGGGGGUUACAGCACUCUUUCUGCUCCAUAUUUACACUCCUU